UUCUAGCCUCCGAUUGGAACGGUAUCCUUUUUUGAGGAGGAACGACGAAAAAAAGAUAUAGUGGAAAGCGGGACCGGUU
rnacentral:sRNA from 1 species